rnacentral:rRNA from 1 species
AGUAACACGUGGGGAACCUGCCCCAUAGUCUGGGAUACCACUUGGAAACAGGUGCUAAUACCGGAUAAGAAAGCGGAUCGCAUGAUCAGCUUUUAAAAGGCGGCGUAAGCUGUCGCUAUGGGAUGGCCCCGCGGUGCAUUAGCUAGUUGGUAAGGUAAAGGCUUACCAAGGCGAUGAUGCAUAGCCGAGUUGAGAGACUGAUCGGCCACAUUGGGACUUAGACACGGCCCAAACUCCUACGGGAGGCAGCAGGG